rnacentral:lncRNA from 1 species
GUGGACAUGGGCACCUGCUACUCUAGCUUCUCAUAGGUGUAGUCUAGUUUAUCAGUCAUACUUCUGCCAUUCGCCUGCAUCUCCAUCAGAGUCUGCAAUAUCUUUUUAUCACCAUGAAAACUCAAGUCAAAUAAAUCUACAGGGGCUCUUGGAGACACAGCAUGAUAAAGUGGGAAGAGAAUUGGAGUGUGAGUCAGGAAACGUGAGUUCAAAUUCCAGAUCCAUUACUUAUUGUUUCUGUGAUCUAGAGAAAGUAAUUUUGCC